rnacentral:tRNA from 1 species
AGCUUUCGGGCCCAUACCCCGAACAUGUUGGUUAAACCCCCUCCUUUWCUA